rnacentral:rRNA from 1 species
UACGUAGGUGGCGAGCGUUGUCCGGAAUUACUGGGUGUAAAGAGCGCGCAGGCGGUCGAUCAAGUCGCGUGUGAAAGCCCCCGGCUCAACUGGGGAGGGUCACGCGAUACUGAUCGACUCGAAGGCAGGAGAGGGUAGUGGAAUUCCCGGUGUAGUGGUGAAAUGCGUAGAUAUCGGGAGGAACACCAGUGGCGAAGGCGACUACCUGGCCUGUUCUUGACGCUGAGGCGCGAAAGCUAGGGGAGCAAACGGG